GUGAGUAACGCGUAGACAACCUGCCUCUAAACUGGGGACAACACCGCGAAAGUGGUGCUAAUACCGAAUGUGGUAACUUGGCUGCAUGGCUGAGUUAAGAAAGAUGGCCUCUACAUGUAAGCUAUCGUUUAGAGAUGGGUCUGCGUCUGAUUAGCUAGUUGGUGAGGUAAAGGCUCACCAAGGCGACGAUCAGUAGCCGGUCUGAGAGGAUGAACGGCCACACUGGGACUGAGACACGGCCCAGACUCCUACGGGAGGCAGCAGUGGGGAAUCUUCCGCAAUGGACGAAAGUCUGACGGAGCAACGCCGCGUGAGUGAAGAAGGUCUUCGGAUUGUAAAGCUCUGUCGUUUGGGACGAACGUGGAUUGUGUGAAUAAUGCAGUCUAAUGACGGUACCAAAGGAGGAAGCCACGGCUAACUACGUGCCAGCAGCCGCGGU
rnacentral:rRNA from 1 species